UUUUCUUCGGGCACUGUGGGAGUUGUAGUUCCUGCCGCCGCUCGGAGCUGUACCACGCCGUGUCGAGGGUGGCUGCUCCUCUGCUGCGUCCGGCUCGGUCUUCGGGACUGCCACUUCUCUCGGCCUGGGAGAGGGAGCUCACGGCGCCGCGACGAUGCCGAGUGGCGGGCCGCUGGGGCGGGCCGGGCAGGUGUUGCUCCUCAUGGCCGCCGCGCCCUGGGCCGGGGUGAGGCCGCGGCCCUUCGCGCCCGGGGGCCAGCCCCGGCCCAGCGUGGUGGUGGUGGCCUGCGACUCCUUGGAUGGACGCCUGACGUUUUAUCCUGGAAAUCAGACUGUGGAUUUGCCUUUCAUAAAUUUUAUGAAAAGAUUUGGCACUGUCUUUCUCAAUGCCUAUACCAAUUCUCCAAUUUGUUGUCCUUCCCGCGCAGCGAUGUGGAGUGGUCUUUUCAUUCAUUUAACAGAGUCUUGGAAUAACUUCAAAGGUCUAGAUCCAGGUUAUGUAACUUGGAUGGAUCUCAUGGAGAAGCAUGGCUACCACACACAGAAGUAUGGGAAACUGGACUAUACUUCUGGACAUCAUUCAGUAAGUAACCGUGUGGAAGCUUGGACUAGGGAUGUUGACUUCCUGCUCCGGCAAGAAGGGAGACCCAUGGUAAACCUGACUGGUGAUAGGAAGCAUGUAAGAGUGAUGGAAGCAGAUUGGCAGAAUACUGAUAAAGCAGUGAAUUGGAUAAAGAAAGAAGCCAUUAACCUUACUCAACCAUUUGUUCUUUACUUGGGGCUGAAUUUACCACACCCAUAUCCAUCACCUUAUGCAGGAGAAAAUUUUGGAUCCUCUACAUUUUUAACAUCUCCCUAUUGGCUUGAAAAGGUAACUUAUGAAGCUAUUAAAAUACCCAAGUGGCCUUCUCUUUCAGAGAUCCAUCCAGUAGACUAUUACUCAUCUUACACCAAGAAUUGCACAGGAGAGUUUACAAAGCAAGAAGUGAGAAAUAUUAGAGCAUUUUAUUAUGCUAUGUGUGCGGAGACAGAUGCCAUGCUCGGUGAGGUUAUUUCAGCUCUGAGAGAUACUGGGCUUCUUAAGACAACAAUCAUUAUAUUCACUGCAGAUCAUGGAGAACUUGCUAUGGAACACCGGCAGUUCUAUAAAAUGAGCAUGUAUGAAGGAAGUUCCCAUGUUCCUCUUUUAGUUAUGGGGCCAGGAAUAAAAAACCAGCAGCAAAUCCCAAAUGUGGUAUCUCUCGUGGAUAUAUAUCCUACUAUGCUUGAUAUAGCAAGAAUUCCUGUCCCACAGAACCUCAGUGGAUAUUCUCUUAUACCACUGCUACGUGGGAAGCCUGAGAAUGGAGUGUCAUCCGAAGGGCAUCGGCCCUCAUGGGUGUUGAGUGAGUUCCAUGGAUGCAAUGUAAAUUCUUCCAUGUACAUGCUUCGAACUGGCAAAUGGAAAUAUAUCGCAUACUCAGAUGGCCAUUCAGUACUUCCACAGCUGUUUGAUCUUACUGCUGAUCCAGAUGAGCUAACAAACAUUGCCGUAAAAUUCCCAGCAAUGGUACAUUCCUUGGACAAAAUACUCCGCUCUAUAGUAAACUACCCGAAAGUUUCUUCUUCUGUUCAGGAGUAUAACAAAAGACAGUUUAUCAGCUGGAAGCAAAGUUUGGGUCACAAUUACUCAAAUGUUAUUGCCAACCUUAGGUGGCAUCAAGACUGGUUAAAGGAACCAAAAAAAUAUGAGAAUGCAAUUGACAAAUGGCUUAGUCAAAGGUUUUCAGAGGAGCCCAGUGCAUGGGGACAGGUUUGCAAAUAAUGCAGAAAAUCCGCUGAAUGUGCCAGCUCACAAAGUAGAGCUACAGUAUCGGGAGGCAGCGAUGCUCCUUUGCAAGAGGAUGGAAACUAUUUGAUUAUUGCCAAAGAGAACUGCUUGGCUGGAGAAGAAAAAGAAGCAGCAAAGUACACUGUGUGAUCAAGCAGAGCACCCCAGGUGGACAGAAGCAGAACAGAAAGAUAAGGAACUGGUUAUUUUGGGACUGUUUGUGAAACAAUGAGCAAUGUUGAGGAAACAAAACUGUAAACCAGGAGCUAAACACGAUGUGAUAAAAAUGGCUUUGUAUGGGAGUUGGAGCCAUAGGCUAAAGAUAGCUUUUGCUAGAAUGGUAUAAAAGCUAGAGCAAUAGGCAAUAAAAUGAUCUGCUGCAUGAAGAUGCUUUGAGUCCAUGCCUUUCAUACGCCACAAAUGGCGCCCGACACAGGCCUUAAAGAGACAGCAACGAUGGUACCAGUGGCGUAGCUGAGCCGAAUGAUGGAGCUGGAAGGAAGCUUGAAUGACGGAGCGGAAAGGAAGUUCAAGAGACGGAGCUGGAAGGAAGCUCGAGAGACGGAGCUGGAAGGAAGCUCGAGGUGCACCAUAAUUACCAUUCUGCAGGACAGAAGGUAAACAGCUGAGAAUGCGAUGGAGAACACCAUCACAGUUAUCCCGAGAUCAGCAGCACAGUCUGGAAGUAAUGCGCCGUCUGCUUGAAACUCGGCAUCGGCCCAUAUCGGGUCUGCAACUUGUGACUUUGUUAGAAUGGAUCCGUGUUAAAGUGCCUGAUUUUCCAGCUGGUGGCACUUUCCAAAUCCCCGCUUGGCAAAUUGUUGGUAAAUGGCUGCAUGAUGCUGCUUCAAACAGGGACCCCACAGCAGGGAAGCAUUUGACAACCUGGUGGCAGAUCCUGGCCACUCUUUGCCAGGUACAGACCAGUGUUGCUGCUGAUGCCGUCACGUCUAAGGAAGCUACCGAUGCUCGUGAGGGGGUAAAAUCUCCUGAAGCCUCAUCAACAGCUGCCCCCCCCAACCCCCCCUUCUGUCUCCCUGUCUGCGCCUCCUUUGUCGUCACAGUCCUCACCGCUGACCACGACGAUCCUCGCAGCGCAAGCGCCUCUAUCGGAAGCAGCUGAGUCGGGUGAUGACCCUGAUAACCUUGAUGAUCUUAACGACCCUACAGACCCCUUUGAUCCUGGUUUUGUAGGUCCAGAGGAGCCGGACUUGUUUUCUCCUCCUGCUGAGUUGCAGACCUUUACAGGGAAGGAGGGCUGGGGUCUGGAGGACUCGUGGGAGGGGGUAUACUCUUAACCGAGGAGACAUUGGGGUAGCGGUGCCGUGCCCAGUUGUCUAUCGGCCACACCAGGCUCCCUCAAAAACUAGAAAAGAAAUGUGAACUAGAAAAGAAAAAAAAAGGGGGGGGAACCGGGAUCAUGACUCCCCACAAGAUAGACAAUGGAAAGCCACAUUCGUCUUGAACUUUUUAAAUUGUAAUGGCUAGCUCAGUCAGUAGAGCAGUUGGGGGUCCUUGCACAUGUGAUAAAACUAAUGAGCAGAUACACGCACAUGGAGGAGUCUGAGCAAGAGCGUGGUUUUGUCUGUGUUAUUUAAACAUGGGUGCGAGGAUUUUGAUGGGGUGUGUUGCAUGAAUCCAAGCGACCACUCAGAAUCAAUUCAUAAGAGUAUCCCUUGCAGCUAAAUCAGGGGUGGGGCGCUUUUGGUCUGUCUUCAUGGCUCGGGAAUUUUGGACCGUGGGUCAAAAAUAUCGCAGGGUUUAUUUUAAUGGCUCUAAUUGCUGUAUUAAUGAUUGCCUUACAUCUUCCUUGUCUUUUUUCUUGUGUUCAAUGAUCAAUCGAAUGAAGUAUGAAUCAGGUUAUGGUCACACAGUUAUAUGCGAACCUUGCCCUUUCGGAGAUAAACAAAGAAGGGGGAGAUGUAGGAGAAGAUGGAAACUAUUUGAUUAUUGCCAAAGAGAGGUAGCUGCUUGGCUGGAGAAGAAAGAGUUAAAGAAGCAGCAAAGUACACUGUGUAAUUAAGCAGAGCAACCCAGGUGGACAGAAGCAGGAGAACAAAAAGAUAAGGAACUGGUUAUUUUGGGACUGUUUGUGAAACCAUGAGGAAUGUUGAGGAAACAAAACCGUAAACCAGGAACUAAACAUGAUGUGAUAAAAACGGCUUUGUAUGGGAGUUGGAGCAAUAGGCUAAAGAUAGCUUUUGCUAGAAUGGUAUAAAAGCUAGAGCAAUAGGCAAUAAAGUGAUUCGCUUCAUGAAGAUGCUUCAAGUCUGUGCCUUUUGUGCGCCACAAUCCCUCUGGAAGCACAGG